AACGAACGCUGGCGGCGCGCUUAACACAUGCAAGUCGAACGAGAAGGCGUAGCAAUACGCUGGUACAGUGGCGAACGGGUGAGGAAUACAUGGGUAACCUACCCUCGAGUGGGGGAUAACCCGCCGAAAGGCGGGCUAAUACCGCGUACGCUUCCGAUCUUGCGGGAUCGGAAGGAAAGCUGUCCCAAGGGGAUGGCGCUCAAGGAUGGGCUCAUGUCCUAUCAGCUUGUUGGAGGGUAACGGCCUACCAAGGCAUCGACGGGUAGCUGGUCUGAGAGGACGAUCAGCCACACUGGCACUGCGACACGGGCCAGACUCCUACGGGAGGCAGCAGUGAGGAAUAUUGCGCAAUGGGGCGAAAGCCUGACGCAGCGACGCCGCGUGGGGGA
rnacentral:rRNA from 1 species